rnacentral:pre_miRNA from 1 species
AGGGGGGCACUGCAUGGAAACGCUAUCCGUAGUUGUCAUGGAGUUGCUCUCUUUA